GACGAACCGUGCAAACGUUGUUCGGAAUCACUGGGCUUAAAGGGCGCGUAGGCGGUUUCCCAAGUCCGGGGUGAAAUCUUUCGGCUCAACCGGAAAAGGGCCUUGGAUACUGGGAAACUGGAGGGAGGUAGGGGCUGCUGGAACUUCCGGUGGAGCGGUGAAAUGCGUUGAUAUCGGAAGGAACGCCGGUGGCGAAAGCGAGCAGCUGGCCCUCUUCUGACGCUGAGGCGCGAAAGCCAGGGGAGCAAACGGG
rnacentral:rRNA from 1 species